GUUUAAAACUUCAGUCCUCACCUCUGAUGAUUUCCUGCAGCGUAGCACCUGGUUUUUAAAAGAGGUAUACUUCUCAGUCUCACAUGUCUUCACUCUUUCUCGCGUUAGCGCAAGCAUAACUGCAUUGUCUGUUGAGGUCCCAUCAAAUGCACUUGCUGAAAUAUCUGGCAAAUAUUGUGGGAACAGAAACACAUGCUAACAAACGUUGU